AAAAGCAAGACGUGUAUAGGAGGGAGGCACCAGGGAACUUCCCUCCCUCACUUGAGCACAAUCCAAGAUUAAAGUUUCUGGGUUGUGUCCCCUUCCUUUCCUCUCACCCUCGCUCCCCCGCGGAGCCAAGGAGCCAGCAAUUGUGCAAGAGGAGCCCCGCGCGCAGGGCGCGUAUCACGGAGCGCAUGGUACGAGCCGUCGGCUCCGGUGAUUAAUUAUCAGUAACCGAUGGCCUCGCUCACCACGUCGGCUUUCCCAGCAAAGCCAGCAAGCCGAGCGCCUCCAGCGCAGCCGGGACGGAGGAGCGGCUCUGGGGAAGACGCCGAGGCUGCGCCCGAGUCUGAACGGAGCUGCUUCCAGCCACAUGAAGUCAGCAGGGCUGUUCUAAGGGGCCCCUAGAUUUUAUGACUGUGUUUCAGGUUGCAGAACCUACUCCGAGACAGCAGACACUUUGACGAAGUGAUUCAUAUUGACAGAUACGUUUGUUGGGUGGUGGCUUUUUUUAUUCUUAACAGAAAACAAAGAAAUAAAUUGUCUUCCCCUGACCCAGGCUGUACUGUGAAACUUUUCAAAAAUGUCUCUGCUUUCUUUUACUUCAGUAUCCUUUUUUCUUUUUCUUUUAAGACGCCCUUAGGGAAACCAUGAAGUAACCCUGCACAUUCCAGUAACACAAUUAUGACAAAACAGAGCCUAACUAGGAAGUGACCACAUUUUAAAAAAUAUUUAGAAAGAAAAACACCAGAAACAAAAGUGCCCAUAACAAUUUAAGGUUUCUUAAAAAAAAAAAAAAGAAA